CGUGUCGUGAGAUGUUGGGUUAAGUCCCGCAACGAGCGCAACCCUCACCCCUUGUUGCCAUCAGGUCAUGCUGGGCACUCUAGAGGAACUGCCCCGGUCAACGGGGAGGAAGGUGGGGAUGACGUCAAGUCAUCAUGCCCCUUACGUCCUGGGCUACACACGUGCUACAAUGGCCGGUACAAAGGGAUGCCACACCGCGAGGUAGAGCUAAACCCAAAAAGCCGGUCUAAGUUCAGAUUGGAGUCUGCAACUCGACUCCAUGAAGGAGGAAUCGCUAGUAAUCGC
rnacentral:rRNA from 1 species